rnacentral:tRNA from 1 species
GAGGGUACAGCUCAAGUGGUAGAGCCCAUGCUUAGCAUGCAUAAGGUCCUGGGUUCAAUCCCCAAUGCCUCCU